UACAGAGGUCUCGAGCGUUAGGCGGAAUCACUGGGCUUAAAGCGUGUGUAGGCGGAUCGGUAAGUACCUUGUGAAAUCCCACAGCUUAACUGUGGAACUGCUUGGUAUACUGCCAGUCUUGAGCCAGCUAGGGGCUACCGGAACAAAUGGUGGAGCGGUGAAAUGCGUAGAUAUCGCUUGGAACGCCGAAGGUGAAAACAGGCUGCUGGGGUUGCGCCGGCGCUGAGACACGAAAGCCAGGGGAGCAAACGGG
rnacentral:rRNA from 1 species